GAUGAACGCUGGGGGGGUGUUUCCUCUUGCAAGUCGAACGGGAAACCAUUUAUUGAAGCUUCGGCAGAUUUAGCUGGUUUCUAGGGGCGGACGGGUGACUAACGCGGGGGUAACCUGCCUUAUACAGGGGGAUAACAGUCAAAAAUGACUGCUAAUACCGCAUAAGCGCACAGGACCGCAUGGCCUGGUGUGAAAAACUCCGGGGGUAUAAGAUGGACCCGCGUUGGAUUAGCUUGUUGGUGAGGUAACGGCUCACCAAGGCGACAAUCCAUAGCCGGCCUGAGAGGGUGAACGGCCACAUUGGGACUGAAACACGGCCCAAACUCCUACGGGAGGCAGCAGGGGGGAAUAUUGCACAAGGGGGGAAACCCUGAUGCACCGACCCCGCGUGAAGGAAAAAGUAUCUCGGUAUGUAAACUUCUAUCAGCAGGGAAGAUAGUGACGGUACCUGACUAAGUAGCCCCGGCUAACUACGUGCCAC
rnacentral:rRNA from 1 species